UACGUAGGGAGCAAGCGUUGUCCGGAAUCAUUGGGCGUAAAGCGCGCGUAGGUGGCCUCGUAAGUCCGCUGUGAAAGUCCAAGGCUCAACCUUGGAAAGCCGGUGGAUACUGUGAGGCUAGAGUACGGAAGAGGCGAGUGGAAUUCCUGGUGUAGCGGUGGAAUGCGCAGAUAUCAGGAGGAACACCAAUAGCGAAGGCAGCUCGCUGGGACGUUACUGACACUGAGGCGCGAAAGCGUGGGGAGCAAACAGGG
rnacentral:rRNA from 1 species